CUGACCAGUCUUUCUCAAUUCGCCAUCUCCGAAGCCGCUCAGCUCAGCUCUGCAUUUAAGCCGAUGUCCGUUCAGCGAAGACCACCAACCUUCCCCCUCAUCUUCGCGGCCACACUUACUGUCUGCAUCCUCAACUACACAAGCGCAUUCCUACUCAACGUCCUCCAAGUCCCACAGCCCCACAGCCACUUACACCGCCCGGGACCGGUACAUUCUGGACCAGGUGCUGAAGGGGUCAUUUUCACUGAUAGCUCAGUGAUUGCAGAGUCCUUUCCACCCUUCUCCCAGGCACCCCCGGAUACGGCCCCAGAGGGCCUAAGAGGUGGCUUUCACAGUCUAGGUUUCUCUUCUUGAGAAGCUCCUUGACGAUCCGGGUCAGAACCCGGGUUGGAGAGGGUUCUGUCAGCCCUCCCCAGCUGUCCUGCAGUUUGGGGAGCCUGAAGGUGCCCCGCUCGAACUUCCACCUCCUUUCCUUCCCCGCCCCCCAUACCCCUAGGUUUCAGAUUGACGCUAGGCACUGGACCGAGCCUGCUCAGUCACCCUCGGCUGCUAUAGAUUCCGAGGGUGGUGGCCGCCCCUGGCCAUUUCCCUCCUCUCCCUUCGGCUCUAGACCCAGCCCAAGGCCCAGAAAACAGUGAUGAGACCCCGCAGGGAGGUGCCUGGGGCGGAGCCGGCUCCAGGUGGUUACCCCAUGCUGAGUACACACCCAGCUACGCAGUCUCGGAGGAGGGAGGAAGGAGCCAGCCCGGAGCACCUCGGGACUCUGCCGGUCCCAGAGGCCACGCAAACUUUGCCCAGACACAGUGAGGACGAGAGGGUCAGAAGCAGCACAGGAUUCCUAGACAAGGAGCGCGGGGACCUGGCUACGCUGUCCCCGGCCUUUGGAGACAGCCCAUGGCACCAGGCUCUGGAGAGCCUGCUUCCUGACUUCAGCGGGGUGAAGAUGAUACAAUACUUUCUGGUGCUGACAUUCAGCUGUCCCCCAAGCAGGUUGGCUGAUAGCCCUGCAGGUCCUUGGAGAGGGGCCGGGGGCUGUCUAAAAAGAUAG
rnacentral:lncRNA from 13 species